UAGAACGUCGUGAGACAGUUCGGUCCCUAUCUGCCGUGGGCGCUGGAAGAUUGAGAGGGGCUGCUCCUAGUACGAGAGGACCGGAGUGGACGCACCGCUGGUGUUCGGGUUGUCAUGCCAAUGGCAUUGCCCGGUAGCUACGUGCGGAAGAGAUAACCGCUGAAAGCAUCUAAGCGGGAAACUUGCCUCGAGAUGAGUCUUCCCUGAGGCCUUGAGCCUCCUGAAGGGACGUUAAAGACGAUGACGUUGAUAGGUCGGGUGUGUAAGCGCUGUGAGGCGUUGAGCUAACCGAUACUAAUGACCCGUGAGACUUAACCUUACAACACCUGAGCUGUU
rnacentral:rRNA from 1 species